rnacentral:lncRNA from 1 species
CCGUCACGGGAGGUUCUGCUCUGCCACCUCCUCCCCAUCUUCCCAGACAUCUAGAAGCUGAAGAGUGAGGCGGCCCUGCUUGUCGCCGCCACCACCGAGCUCUUCCUAGGCAGCCUCAUGGCAGGGGGGCACACAACGACGACGUGACAAUUCUGGCAAGCGGUCCGUGCCGUGCAUGUCUGAACCGCGGCCCGCGGGCACUGUCCCAUGACGGACUUCCUCCUUGACUGCCUCGCUGCUGAAGAGGAGUCUCCCCGCGUCUACUUUUGGAUCUGGUGCUUGGUAUAGGUCAGUUUUACCUAAUAUUCUGUUUCUGUUCCUUGUUUGUUUGAACUGAGGUUGAUUUAGGUUGUGAACUUGUGAUGACAAAAAUAACAUCCUGUUGAAACUAUGCAUGUAUAUACAUAAAUGAUUUGGACAACAAGAUAUCCUGAUACAAUGUCACUCAAUGAUUCUCAUAGAUUUUGCAACCACUGAAGAAUUUUGUUUAUUGGCAUGUCUGUUUGGAAAUGCCCGAAUCUUGUAAAAGCUGAUGCAUUACUGAAUUAAUCGGUCAUACUUUAUGCCUUCAAUCAAUAUGAAAGUGUGGUGUCCAUUUUAUGAAGUUUGAAGACAUGCUUAUCACUGUACCUACUAGAAAUGCUUAUCACUGGUUUCAAAUAAUGGAAGUACCAUCAAGCUUUUGACGUUGAUAGUUUUUGCCAAAUUAAUCGUGAAUACAAACUUUAGAGUGUGUCCAUUGUGUUUCAAAUAAUGGAACCAUCAAGCUUUUGACGUUGAUAGUUUUUGCCAAAAAGAGUCAUAGAUUUUUAUUUACUAUUUUAAUUGCCUUUUUUACUUACCCAGUCUAAUACCAUCUACAAGGUACUUAAUUGGGUGGAGUUUUGGUUGUGAGUCUGUCAAAUUAGUAUAUCUAUAUAUAUCGAAGAAUUGUCAUCUUUGUCAUUUUCUCAGGGAAGACUAGCAAAUGUUGGUGAUUUGGCAGUCAAAAGAGUAAACCCAGAAGCAGGGAUCGUGGAGCUAACAAAUCAUGUGAACUACUAUGAGCAAUCACACAUACAGGGCAACCACCUCAAUGAUUGGUUGGUGUUUUCCCCUCUCUACUUGUUCUUAGCACUGCAAUUGAUAUCUCUAGGAAACUAUGGCAUUUUUCCUUCGUUGGAUUAACCGAGUUCUGCUGGAACAAUAUGAAGUAAACCAUGCUAAGACAUCGAUCUGGACAAUAUUGACGGCAUUGACAUCGAGAGCAGAGGUGACUUCAUUUGCGUAAUGUGAUGCUCACGCCUGGUUUAGGUAGUAGAGUAGUAGCAACGAGCUUCCUUUGGUUGUCGCUCACGAGAGAGUAGAAGAGUAGCAGUACGACAGGUUCAUGUAGCAGAAUAGCAGUAGCGUUGCCAUAGAUCAUGCACUUAUAUGCUGAGAUCUGCACAAAAAUUCUAUGACCAGUUGAAUCAGCACAUCCAUUCCCCUAUGAUUUCUGUUGUCGAUCAAAAAUGGUAUAGCUUGUAUCACUUCAACAAUCUAUAGUUCGUUUUUAUAGAAUCAUUUCAGGGAUCUCAAUAUUAGCGGCCAUAGUUUUUAGCUACAGAUAAAUGUCAUUUGUUUGUAACCCAAUAAAGUAUUUCAGGCAAAUUUUGACUGAUUUAAAUGUUCAGUCUGGACAGUGACUUCAGACAGUAUAGAUGGUACCAGUAUCAGUCCAUUACAAGGUUUUGCAUUAUACUGCAUUUUCUGCAAAAGUAGCAGUUACCAAGUGCCAUGUGCCCUUGUUCUGCAUCAUCACUUAGCUCGUUCAGAAGUACUAAAGUAGUAAUUAACACCCCUUUCUAUAAUGAUUAGAUGCACCAAACUAUAAACCACAUGACACUAGUUUGUAAAAAUACCUGCAUCGUAAGGUUAUUCUGCUCUACUCUGCUGCUAAAUUCAACAUCCAGAUUACUUGGUAGAGGUAGCAAGGCCUUGAUCCUAGCACGAAAUGAGAAAAAAGGUAUGGUUUAAUGUUGGACAACUCAUUAGGGAAGUUCAGACAUCAGAAUCAUAAUUUUUAUGGUUCAGUUCAAUUUUUAUGGUCCAAGAUCAUUUAUUUUGGACUAGGAUAAUCUUUAUUUAUUUUGGACUUGCAGUUGACGUCACCUUCUUGUAUGAACUAUACACUUUAGGAUCCCUUCUUCCUAAACAUAAGUACCAUUGUGUUUCAAAUAAUGGAACCAUCAAGCUUUUGACGUUGAUAGUUUUUGCCAAAAAGAGUCAUAGAUUUUUAUUUACUAUUUUAAUUGCUUUUUUUACAAAUCAUCUUUAAAAUAAGUACUACACAAGGAAGCAAGUAGCUUAGCCUGUGAAUCUGAUCUUGACAUCUCUAUGUUUUAAACUAUAGGCUCACAUGCACGUCGGUGCCAAUUAUUAUUACACGAGUCAACCAUUUUCCUAUGGACAAAAGAGAGCCAACACACCAAUAUUCAAAGAUGACUGUCGACACAAGAUAGCUUUGACUCGCCUGUCAUCUCAUUCCCGUUGUAAAAGGAUAGUCGCAGAAUCCACCAGAUUGCAUUAACUUUCUUGUGUAAUCCUAUCUCAGGGUAUGUUGCGGCUUAUGGCAAUUCUGAGCCAAAAUAUACUACAUUGUAUGGAAACCCUGAUGCAACAUAUACUACACAAGCCUACCCAGAUGUUUAAAGCACUAAUCAGGUUUGUUUACUUGGUUUAUGAUUCUUUUCUUAUUUGCUUUUGAUUUAACUAUAACAAUUGUUCUUGGAUGCAUCUAAAAGGUGGUCUAUUGAGUUACACUAAUGAAAAAAAUAUGGUUCCAAAAUUGAUUUCUUAUUUCUGCUAUUUGAACUUUGAACCUUAGUAAUUUAUUUUGCAUGACUAAUGAUCAACCUGUCUUCUCUUAUCUCUUCUCUUCAAAAAGGCUACAAAGAAGUUGUUUACAAGUGGGCCUGGGAUUGAAUAGAUCGCUGACAAGU